rnacentral:rRNA from 1 species
AUUGAACGCUGGCGGCAGGCCUAACACAUGCAAGUCGAGCGGAACUUCGGACGGGUGAGUGAUGCCUAGGAAUCUACCUGGUAGUGGGGGAUACCGUCCGGAAGCGGGAGCUUAUCCCGCAUACUAUCAGAUGAGCCUCGGUCGGAUUAGCUAGUUGGUGGGGUAAAGGCCUACCAAGGCGACGAUCCGUAACUGGUCUGAGAGGAUGAUCAGUCACACUGGAACUGAGACACGGUCCAGACUCCUACGGGAGGCAGCAGUGGGGAAUAUUGGACAAUGGGCGAAAGCCUGAUCCAGCCAUGCCGCGUGUGUGAAGAAGGUCUUCGGAUUGUAAAGCACUUUAAGUUGGGAGGCGGUACCAACAGAAUAAGCACCGGCUAACUUCGUGCCAGCAGCCGCGGUAAUUC